rnacentral:rRNA from 1 species
UACGAAGGGGGCUAGCGUUGCUCGGAAUCACUGGGCGUAAAGCGCACGUAGGCGGGUCCUUAAGUCGGGGGUGAAAUCCUGGAGCUCAACUCCAGAACUGCCUUCGAUACUGAGGAUCUCGAGUCCGGGAGAGGUGAGUGGAACUCCGAGUGUAGAGGUGAAAUUCGUAGAUAUUCGCAAGAACACCAGUGGCGAAGGCGGCUCACUGGCCCGAUACUGACGCUGAGGCACGAAAGCGUGGGGAGCAAACAGG